rnacentral:rRNA from 1 species
GAUGAACGCUGGCGGCGUGCCUAAUACAUGCAAGUCGAGCGAACGGACUAGAAGCUUGCUUCUCUGAUGUUAGCGGCGGACGGGUGAGUAACACGUGGAUAACCUACCUAUAAGACUGGGAUAACUUCGGGAAACCGGAGCUAAUACCGGAUAAUAUUUUGAACCGCAUGGUUCAAAAGUGAAAGACGGUCUUGCUGUCACUUAUAGAUGGAUCCGCGCUGCAUUAGCUAGUUGGUAAGGUAACGGCUUACCAAGGCAACGAUGCAUAGCCGACCUGAGAGGGUGAUCGGCCACACUGGAACUGAGACACGGUCCAGACUCCUACGGGAGGCGGCAGUAGGGAAUCUUCCGCAAUGGGCGAAAGCCUGACGGAGCAACGCCGCGUGAGUGAUGAAGGUCUUCGGAUCGUAAAACUCUGUUAUUAGGGAAGAACAUAUGUGUAAGUAACUGUGCACAUCUUGACGGUACCUAAUCAGAAAACCACGGCUAACUACGUG